rnacentral:rRNA from 1 species
UCAAGUGAUGAUUAUUGGAGGUAGAGCACUGUUUGGACGAGGGGCCCCUCUCGGGUUACCGAAUUCAGACAAACUCCGAAUGCCAAUUAAUUUAACUUGGGAGUCAGAACAUGGGUGAUAAGGUCCGUGUUCGAAAGGGAAACAGCCCAGACCACCAGCUAAGGUCCCAAAAUAUAUGUUAAGUGGAAAAGGAUGUGGCGUUGCCCAGACAACUAGGAUGUUGGCUUAGAAGCAGCCAUCAUUUAAAGAGUGCGUAAUAGCUCACUAGUCGAGUGACACUGCGCCGAAAAUGUACCGGGGCUAAACAUAUUACCGAAGCUGUGGAUUGUCCUUUGGACAAUGGUAGGAGAGCGUUCUAAGGGCGUUGAAGCAUGAUCGUAAGGACAUGUGGAGCGCUUAGAAGUGAGAAUGCCGGUGUGAGUAGCGAAAGACGGGUGAGAAUCCCGUCCACCGAUUGACUAAGGUUUCCAGAGGAAGGCUCGUCCGCUCUGGGUUAGUCGGGUCCUAAGCUGAGGCCGACAGGCGUAGGCGAUGGAUAACAGGUUGAUAUUCCUGUACCACCUAUAAUCGUUUUAAUCGAUGGGGGGACGCAGUAGGAUAGGCGAAGCGUGCGAUUGGAUUGCACGUCUAAGCAGUAAGGCUGAGUAUUAGGCAAAUCCGGUACUCGUUAAGGCUGAGCUGUGAUGGGGAGAAGACAUUGUGUCUUCGAGUCGUUGAUUUCACACUGCCGAGAAAAGCCUCUAGAUAGAAAAUAGGUGCCCGUACCGCAAACCGACACAGGUAGUCAAGAUGAGAAUUCUAAGGUGAGCGAGCGAACUCUCGUUAAGGAACUCGGCAAAAUGACCCCGUAACUUCGGGAGAAGGGGUGCUCUUUAGGGUUAACGCCCAGAAGAGCCGCAGUGAAUAGGCCCAAGCGACUGUUUAUCAAAAACACAGGUCUCUGCUAAACCGUAAGGUGAUGUAUAGGGGCUGACGCCUGCCCGGUGCUGGAAGGUUAAGAGGAGUGGUUAGCUUCUGCGAAGCUACGAAUCGAAGCCCCAGUAAACGGCGGCCGUAACUAUAACGGUCCUAAGGUAGCGAAAUUCCUUGUCGGGUAAGUUCCGACCCGCACGAAAGGCGUAACGAUUUGGGCACUGUCUCAACGAGAGACUCGGUGAAAUCAUAGUACCUGUGAAGAUGCAGGUUACCCGCGACAGGACGGAAAGACCCCGUGGAGCUUUACUGUAGCCUGAUAUUGAAAUUCGGCACAGCUUGUACAGGAUAGGUAGGAGCCUUUGAAACGUGAGCGCUAGCUUACGUGGAGGCGCUGGUGGGAUACUACCCUAGCUGUGUUGGCUUUCUAACCCGCACCACUUAUCGUGGUGGGAGACAGUGUCAGGCGGGCAGUUUGACUGGGGCGGUCGCCUCCUAAAAGGUAACGGAGGCGCUCAAAGGUUCCCUCAGAAUGGUUGGAAAUCAUUCAUAGAGUGUAAAGGCAUAAGGGAGCUUGACUGCGAGACCUACAAGUCGAGCAGGGUCGAAAGACGGACUUAGUGAUCCGGUGGUUCCGCAUGGAAGGGCCAUCGCUCAACGGAUAAAAGCUACCCCGGGGAUAACAGGCUUAUCUCCCCCAAGAGUUCACAUCGACGGGGAGGUUUGGCACCUCGAUGUCGGCUCAUCGCAUCCUGGGGCUGUAGUCGGUCCCAAGGGUUGGGCUGUUCGCCCAUUAAAGCGGUACGCGAGCUGGGUUCAGAACGUCGUGAGACAGUUCGGUCCCUAUCCGUCGUGGGCGUAGGAAAUUUGAGAGGAGCUGUCCUUAGUACGAGAGGACCGGGAUGGACAUACCUCUGGUGUACCAGUUGUCGUGCCAACGGCAUAGCUGGGUAGCUAUGUGUGGACGGGAUAAGUGCUGAAAGCAUCUAAGCAUGAAGCCCCCCUCAAGAUGAGAUUUCCCAACUUCGGUUAUAAGAUCCCUCAAAGAUGAUGAGGUUAAUAGGUUCGAGGUGGAAGCAUGGUGACAUGUGGAGCUGACGAAUACUAAUCGAUCGAAGACUUAAUCAA